AACUUUACCUGUGACCUAAAUAAAUUCUGCAUCUGAGAACUGAAGAUUUCUCCGGCUUGUUCUUGGGCUUCCAGCUAAAGAAUCGGAUCUAAUCCGUCCUCAUUAUAUCUUUAUUUUGAUCUUUAUCCGACUUCUUGUCUCGUUUCUUCCUGUGAGUUAUGUAAUGUGAGGCAUCAACACGGUUUAUUUUAUCUCAUUUAGUUCAUCUACAGACACGACGAGCAGUUUAUUCCCCCGACUGAGGAGCAGACGUGAUGAUCUUCUCAUCAUCUCAGAGUGGAAGUCAUCGUUUAAGGUGAGAGACGGUGAAAAUCAGGAACUACGAUGGGAUAUAAAACCAUUUUCAGUCCAAAUGCGGUCUGCCUCCUGAGUCAAGUCGACCCGUUAUCGUCUGAACCAGGCAUCAGAGAACAACUAAACCAAACCAGUGACCAAAUGAAACACCUGCACACCUGGCUGAUCGCUGCUCAGUUAUCGAGCCUCUUUGAGUUAAAACAUCCUAACUGCAUCCGUUUCUAAGUCAGACUUCUGUGUGGCUGAGCUUCGUCGUGCACAUCUGUCCACAUCUGUCCACAUCUGCUG